rnacentral:rRNA from 1 species
UACGGGGGGGGCAAGCGUUGUUCGGAAUUACUGGGCGUAAAGGGUGCGUAGGUGGUGGGGUAAGUUUGAUGUGAAAGCUCCGAGCUUAACUCGGAAAUGGCAUUGAAUACUAUCCUGCUUGAGGUUUGGAGGGGGGACUGGAAUUCUCGGUGUAGCAGUGAAAUGCGUAGAUAUCGAGAGGAACACCAGUGGCGAAGGCGAGUCCCUGGACAACACCUGACACUGAGGCACGAAAGCUAGGGGAGCAAACAGG